rnacentral:lncRNA from 1 species
CGGCGGGGUGGGCAGCCCGGCGCCCCGCUCCAUCCACGCGGUUAUUUGUUCGCUGUGUCCUCCCAGCCUUGCCGAUCCCCGUCGGCUGCUUUUCAGGCCUGGGGACUGUCGAGGCCGGGAGGGCGGGGGACGGACAGUGUUUCCUGGGACUCAUUGUUCAGUGAAGCACCUACGACGGCGUGGCUCCUGUGUUCCGUGGCUACUGACAGUGACGCAGAGAAGCAGGGGAAAUGCCGCGGGGAGCACGCGGUCUGACCUGCCGUGUCACCGCCGGGACACCGCCUCCUCCGUACCCCGAGCUUUCCCGCCUGAGAGAAAAGGUGGCCUUGGGCACCUGGGUGGCUCGGUCGCUUGGUUGGGUGUCUACCGUCGGCUCGGGCCAUGAUCCUGGAAUCCCGGGAGCGAGCCCCAUGUCGGGCUCCUGCUCAGCACGGAGUCUGCUUCACCCCUUCCCUCUGCCCCUCUCCUCGCUCCUCGUCUCUCUCACUCAUUCUCUCAAAUAAAUCAAAAA